rnacentral:rRNA from 1 species
UACGUAGGGUGCGAGCGUUGUCCGGAAUUAUUGGGCGUAAAGAGCUCGUAGGCGGUCUGUCGCGUCGAUCGUGAAAACUUGGGGCUUAACCCUGAGCUUGCGGUCGAUACGGGCAUGACUGGAGUUCGGCAGGGGAGACUGGAAUUCCUGGUGUAGCGGUGAAAUGCGCAGAUAUCAGGAGGAACACCGGUGGCGAAGGCGGCUCUCUGGGACGGUACUGACGCUGAGACGCGAAAGCGUGGGGAGCGAACAGG